GACGGUAUAGCUGAGUGGUAGAGCGCAAGCUUAGCAUGCCCGAGGUCCUGGGUUCAAUUCCCCAGUACCUCUG
rnacentral:tRNA from 1 species